rnacentral:lncRNA from 1 species
AAAGAUCAUUGUAGCAGCAGAAUUCUGAUAAGAUGGAGGAAAGAAAAGCCAGAGUGAAGCAGACCAUUAGCAGAUAAUUGUCAUAAUCUUGAUACUAAAUGGAGACCAGAAUUAAGGUAGUUACUGUGGAGAUUUAAAGAAAGGGUGAUUAUUCAGAAGAGAGAAUUCACAGGCUGGGUGACCCAUUGGAGGAAGGAGAUGAGGAAGAUGGAGUCAUCAAGAAUGACCCUAAGUUCUCACUAGCUGAGGUUGGGUCUCCCAGGAAGCAGACACAGCGGCAGAGAUUUUUGUGCAGGGAGUUUAUGGAGGAGAACUUAGGAAUAACACCUGUAAGAGGGUGAGGGAAGAAGUGGAAUUGGGCAAAGGGAGAUGUGGAAGUGUGAUGUAGUGGCACUGGAGGCUACAUGGAGCUCUGGAGUUGCAAUGGCCCAUCACAGUGGCCCCAAGUAGAGACAAUGAGGGCUUUCAAAGAAUUGAAUGAAGCCCAUCCACACUGGGAAGGCAAUCUGCUUUGUUCAGUCUACUGAUUCAACUGUCAAUCUCAUCCAGAAACACCUUCCCAGAUGCACCAAGAAUGUUUAAGCAAAUAUCUGGGCACCUCGUGGUCCAGUCAAUUUGACAUAUAAAAUUAACCAUCCGAUGGUUCAACAUACAUGUACCUGUGAUGUUUAACCUACAAAUAAAGAUUGCUAAGAGGUCAAUAUUUCUGAGAAGGAAAAUUGUUCUACAUGUAUAGUCUUAUGGCUUUACGUUACAGUUUGGAAACCUGUUUUCCAAACCUGGCUGCCUGUAAAAUAAGUUCUCAGGAGAAGUGAAUGGAAAAACAGACAGUGAAG